GGGGAUGAACAGUUUCUAAUCUAUGAUUCAUGAAGCAUAUGAAAGAUUAGAUUUAAGUACUGAUUAAUUUUAGAUUAAAUUUAAAUUAAUUAUAUUUAAUUAUAUCUAAAAUUUUAAAUUAGAAUUGAUAUAAAAGUUUUAAAGAGCUUAGGAUUAACAAUCUUUCAAAAUUGUUUCGAAUCAGCUUCAAAUUGGAUUCGAAUCAGAUCCAUUUUGGAUGAGAUA
rnacentral:lncRNA from 1 species